AUUGAACGCUGGCGGCAGGCCUAACACAUGCAAGUCGAGCGAACAGACGAGGAGCUUGCUCCUCUGACGUUAGCGGCGGACGGGUGAGUAACACGUGGAUAACCUACCUAUAAGACUGGGAUAACUUCGGGAAACCGGAGCUAAUACCGGAUAAUAUAUUGAACCGCAUGGUUCAAUAGUGAAAGACGGUUUUGCUGUCACUUAUAGAUGGAUCCGCGCCGCAUUAGCUAGUUGGUAAGGUAACGGCUUACCAAGGCAACGAUGCGUAGCCGACCUGAGAGGGUGAUCGGCCACACUGGAACUGAGACACGGUCCAGACUCCUACGGGAGGCAGCAGUAGGGAAUCUUCCGCAAUGGGCGAAAGCUUGACGGAGCAACGCCGCGUGAGUGAUGAAGGUCUUCGGAUCGUAAAACUCUGUUAUUAGGGAAGAACAAAUGUGUAAGUAACUAUGCACGUCUUGACGGUACCUAAUCAGAAAGCCACGGCUAACUACGUG
rnacentral:rRNA from 1 species